GUUUCUUUGGCAGUGUCUUAGCUGGUUGUUGUGAACAGUAAUCAAGGAAGCAAUCAGCAAGUAUACUGCCCUAGAAGU
rfam:Calypte anna contig100321, whole genome shotgun sequence.